rnacentral:rRNA from 1 species
UCAACUAAUUCAACACGCUUGAGAAUGUCACCAUCUGAUCGUCUACAUCCCCUUUCAUGCACAUUGCCAGAUGGGAUAGCAUUCCACGAUCGCGAAGACUUUCUGAUACAGAGCCAGUAGGCAGAAGAGUUUGUGGUACAUCACGCUCUUUGGUUUGCCUCCGUUAGCUCAGAACACCCCUUUUCACGCGUUUGGAGACGUCUCACACAUUUGAUUAGUACUAAUCGGCACAGGGGCCAAUACCUGUAGAACUCAUAGAUCAUGGACCUAAUAGUAUACUUAGAGUAGUACAAUGAAAUUUUAAUUAAAACAACCCAAAUUACUACAAUGAAUUAACCCUAACUCCUACAGCAGUUGGUAAGAGUUACAAGUUGUUGGUGAUACUAUCAAUUUAUUUUAAAUAAGGAAACAUCAUCCCUUUUAACCGAAAUGCGUUUUGGGAUAUUGGUAUCUCGAAAAGGUAGUCGGUUUAUACGUACAUCACUAUCGGUAUAAAGUCGUAACGAGAUUUCACACUUAAACGGUCAUGUAAGUUACAUGAUUGGGAAACACCGACGUUGCAGAGUACAAUGUCCUAAUAGAAUGCUGCUCAUUCACUAUGCAAUCCCAAUACUAAAGAUGUGAGUUGAAACGGCAACCACGACUACCCUUAGGUGUUGGAACAAUGAAGGCGAUAAAACCUAACUCCAUUAUCAUAAAUGUAAUGAAAUUUGUACACUAAAUAGAGACAAUAUUUAGGUGCUCAUGACACACACAGUCGUAUGGCUAGGUCCCUACGGUGAAUUCGUGUCUCUGAACUGGGUAAGCCCACCCCAGCCAUGUCAACUACAUCAGCAUGUGGAAGUGCUAGGUUGGCUAGUUCAUGGCUUGCAUACCGUGGAGGCACAAAUCGUGCAAGUCGAGUUACUGCAGGAGCGGAACAGCUAGGUCGUUCUCUCCGUUUCAUCAUCUACUCAAGGCCGCCAUGCUAACACACUACUGCCACCACCACUUGAACAAGAGCGUCCCGAAGCGGUACGUGACGUCUUUUGAACUGCUUCCUACUUUAGCCCCUCUCUCCCACGGCGUGUGCCGAGCACCUAAUAGCACCAACACACCGCGGGGGAGGGAUAUAUACAUAUCCGCCCCCUCCCCUCCGUCGGUCCCACGCGCAGUUCCCACCGGCGGCCGGGGGAACCCGCGGACGGGAUACCGCACGGGGGGAAGGAAUAAACGAGACCUCCCCCUUCCCCUCCUCUCCCUUCCGUUCCCCUCCGGCUGAGGGCAGGCAGGAAAAGAGGGGUUCCGGACGCCGAUCUCCUCCCCCGCGGUCGGGGAACACCCGACCACACGAGGGGAGCAAACCGGGUAUACCGGGUAAUUGGAGGGCCCCGAAGAGCCUUGGGGAAGGUCACUAUACUACUAAUGGGCUAUGUAAAACUUUGGAAAGGCCACUGGUUUAUCGUAACAGGAUAUAUAGUUAUAAAUGGAGGUCUGGUAAGACCUCGAGAGAGUACAUGCCCUAGAGUAGGCCCUGAGGCUUGUUGUAAGCCAGUGGUUGAGUGUAUUGAGUAUAUAUAUUAUGAUAUAGCAGUUGCUUGCAAUUCGCACGCCUGGGAUGCCCAAGCUUACUACAUCUGUACUGGCUUAACGGAGAGGCCAGUUAUUGGUUAUCGCCCUGGACCUAUGGGUACAUCCAAGGAUGUAUAAGAUGUUUCUAGAAAUAGCCAGCUUGUAAAUACUGUUGUACACAUUAAGGGAAACAGACAGCCAUACAAUGCACGGGCUCUAAGCUAGUAACCAUAGAGGUAUGGAUGAAGUUAGAGUAAUGUCCGUUCAGAAAAAUGAGCAAGGCAUUAUGUAGUAGAACAUUGAUUGAGGAAUCAGUGAAACGAACGUUCGAAGAAGACUACGACAUAAUGGCUUUCCCGGGUCUCUAUGGAGAGGCUAUGUACCUCACUGUUUAAAGUUAGAGCUAGGUCCGGUUGAGUUGUUUGUGGAAGCCUCUAUGGGCAUCUCGUAGAAAUACUACUGGGUCAAUGUGACACUACAAACUAUCGUGUGUUCGGCGUAGCCACCGGUGCAGAGGACCUCGUAUUGUCCUGUUGGACGACUAGAGUAGUUGUAUAAGUCUUUAACUUGCAGGAGGGACCGUGUUCAAUGCCUUAAGAAAGGAGAACUCCGAGUAUCGAGGUCGACUUUGUACUCGCCAUGCCUUGCGGACGACCUUGACGAAGGUUCUGUGUAAGACGUACCCCAUACACCACCAUAUCAAGAGGGUGGUACGCCGACGGCCAGGUAGGUCGAGCACUCACCGUUUGGAGUGAAAGAGACACAGUCACGUAGGACGCCGCCGGUCGAGAGAAGGAUAGGACGCCUCGGUCAGUAGACGAUGUUAGCCGAAGCACGAAGAACUCUUGUGUCCACCACUCAUAAUGUAUUAAGACUAUAUACAUAAUUUUUUUAACCUUUUAAUAACGGUGUACCUGUAAGUUUUUGUAAUAGUAUAUACAACACACGCUAAAAAAGAGGUAAAAUGGACGAUGGUAUGUACCUUCGAAUUAAUUCAAACCUCUUUAAAAUCGGGGUUAGACCAUACACCAGUCGGUACACGUUUUAUAGUACAACAAAACUAGUUUCAAACUCUAAUCUGCGAAGAAGAGAACGAUCAAGUAAGUACAGCCAACUCUCCCUUAUUCAAUUUAAUAUAUUACCAAAGAAUAUAACACAAAACCGUACAUAACAAAUUAUUAAAAAAAAUAUCUAAUAUAUUCUUUAGUAGAAUAAAUCGAACUCUAGUUGAGAUCUAGUAAUGUUCAACUCGUGCUCAGUAAAAAAUAUCGAGCUGUAGCUCGAAGCGAGUCAAAUUCGAGAGAGCUUAAAAUCAUAUUCAACUCAAUUCGGAUUAUGUUG